rnacentral:rRNA from 1 species
UACGUAGGGGGCAAGCGUUGUCCGGAAUCAUUGGGCGUAAAGCGCGUGUAGGCGGCUUGGUAAGUCUGCUCUGAAAGCCCGGGGCUCAACCCCGGGAGGCGGGUGGAUACUGUCAAGCUCGAGUCCGGAAGAGGAGUGUGGAAUUCCUGGUGUAGCGGUGAAAUGCGCAGAUAUCAGGAGGAACACCAAUGGCGAAGGCAGCACUCUGGGACGGUACU